GUGAGGAAUAUUGGUCAAUGGGCGCAAGCCUGAACCAGCCAUCCCGCGUGCAGGAAGACGGCCCUAUGGGUUGUAAACUGCUUUUCCAGGGGGAGAAUUUUUCCGUCGUGACGGGAAUUGACGGUACCCCGGGAAUAAGCAUCGGCUAACUCCGUGCCAGCAGCCGCGGUAAUACGGAGGAUGCGAGCGUUAUCCGGAGUUAUUGGGUUUAACGGGUGCGUAGGCGGAAUGAUAAGUCAGUGGUGAAAACCUGCAGCGUAACUGUAGACUUGCCGUUGAUACUGUCAGUCUUGAGUGUGGUCAAGGUAGGCGGAAUGUGUAAUGUAGCGGUGAAAUGCUUAGAUAUUACACAGAACACCGAUUGCGAAGGCAGCUUACUGGGCCAUUACUGACGCUGAUGCACGAAAGCGUGGGGAUCGAACAGGAUUAGAAACCCCGGUAGUCC
rnacentral:rRNA from 1 species